rnacentral:tRNA from 1 species
GGCAAGGUAGCUCAGUUGGUCAGAGCACACGGUUCAUACCCGUGAUGUCGAGGGUUCAACUCCCUCCCUUGCUA